GAUUUGGAAGACCUAUUCCUAGAUCAGAUGAUUGGAUUUUAUGAAAAUGAUGCUAAAUCUUAUUCUAUCACUAGUUUCACUAGAAUUACCAUGCAGCACGGGCCUAGUAUUUCACGAACUCCAAUGUCAUUACGUGUUCCUCGCCCUGCUAGUACAGCUGGAUUUCGUGCUGCAACAUCUUCUAGUAGAUUGUUCUGUCAUGGCAUCCUUCUAGAUAUGGCCCCAGUUGCAUAUCUAGUGUCUCAUUCUUCCUUGAAGUAGAACCAAUGUUUCUGUUGAAUAUAAUGUAUGUAUUAGCAAAAUUUUUAGAUGCAUAGAACUAUUUAGAACAGCUACCUUCCCCCAACCCCCAUGGCCCCAUGUUCUUGAACUCCAUGUUCAUAAAAAAAAAAGCAUGCAAUAGUUGAAUCUUAUUUUCUGCUUACUUUGAAAAUUUUCUUAGUUUGUGCAGUCUCCCUUCCCUAUUUUUGUUUCUUGUUCAAGUUAAUUUUUAGUGAAAUUCAUUGAAAAGAUAUAUGACCCCAAAUUCUUGUUAGACAAAAAUUCUCAAACCACAUAGAGAUCAAAUCAAAAUGCCAAAGGUUCAGAGUACAAAGAAAUCAGAGUAACCUUCAUCUUCCAUUUAGGUUUCUCAAGCUGUGAACAGAGGAUGCAGCUCAAUUGGUUUUGGAGCGAUCUUUUCGACUUCUGGCCAUUGGUUUUGGAAAAUUUCUAAGUUUCAACUUUCAAGCAGAGUGAGGAGAGAACUCUAGUGUGAAUUGUGGGACGGCGAUGAUGUUGAGGAUGAAUUGUCGAAUUCAACAUUCAUCGCGUGGAGAUUGU
rnacentral:lncRNA from 1 species